rnacentral:misc_RNA from 1 species
UUAAGUUCAGCGGGUAGUCCUACCUGAUUUGAGGUCAGAGUCAAAAGUGCCCGAGGGCGAUUGUGAGCAGACAUCACACCUUCACCGACGAAACUUAUUAAGUCGACUAUGGUGCUAUCCCGCUAAGUCUUUUAAGGCGAGCCAAAAGAGGCAGACACCCAAGUCCAAUCUCCUCGGAAACCCGAGGGAUUGAGUCUACA